rnacentral:lncRNA from 1 species
GGAGUUUCCAGAACACUUCCAUCUCGCUAAACAUGACCGGGUUCUGCCAAUCGUGAUGUAUGCCAACUCUGGUUACAGUAUCAAUGGGGCAGAGAGCUGAUCAAAACAGCAAAAGCAAAGCAGUGCCCCUGGCCCAGUUCUGAAGCCAAUCUUCCUUAAUCACCCAGACCCAUCCCUGGUUAGGACUUGCUGUGGAUUCUCAGGUGACUCCCUCUCAGGAUACAGGGACUGAGAGGGUGUAUGCAACAUCUCAGACCCAGAAACCGUUGAUUCUGUCUAAAAACACAGCAAUAACCACAUCCCAUCCUCUUGAUUUAAAUGAAAGUGUUUGGAGGAAUAAAAGAUGAAUCUUUU